rnacentral:rRNA from 1 species
UGAGGAAUAUUGGUCAAUGGGCGGGAGCCUGAACCAGCCAAGCCGCGUGAGGGAAGAAGGCCCUAUGGGUCGUAAACCUCUUUUGUCAGGGAACAAAAGCGAGUAUGUAUACUAGUCUGAGUGUACCUGAAGAAAAAGCAUCGGCUAACUCCGUGCCAGCAGCCGCGGUAAUACGGAGGAUGCGAGCGUUAUCCGGAUUUAUUGGGUUUAAAGGGUGCGUAGGCGGCGAUGCAAGUCAGCGGUAAAACGCCCGGGGCUCAACCCCCGGGCGAGCCGUUGAAACUGCAGUGCUAGAGAAGGCGAGAGGUACGCGGAAUGCGCAGUGUAGCGGUGAAAUGCUUAGAUAUUGCGCAGAACUCCGAUUGCGAAGGCAGCGUACUGGCGCCUGACUGACGCUGAGGCACGAAAGCGUGGGGAUCGAACAGGAUUAGAUACC